CUAAAUACUCUCUAGUGACCGAUAGUGAACCAGUACCGUGAGGGAAAGGUGAAAAGCACCCCGGAAGGGGAGUGAAAUAGAACCUGAAACCGUGUGCUUACAAGUAGUCAGAGCCCGUUAAUGGGUGAUGGCGUGCCUUUUGUAGAAUGAACCGGCGAGUUACGAUUUGAUGCAAGGUUAAGCAGUAAAUGUGGAGCCGUAGCGAAAGCGAGUCUGAAUAGGGCGUUUAGUAUUUGGUCGUAGACCCGAAACCAGGUGAUCUACCCUUGGUCAGGUUGAAGUUCAGGUAACACUGAAUGGAGGACCGAACCGACUUACGUUGAAAAGUGAGCGGAUGAACUGAGGGUAGCGGAGAAAUUCCAAUCGAACCUGGAGAUAGCUGGUUCUCUCCGAAAUAGCUUUAGGGCUAGCCUCAAGUGAUGAUUAUUGGAGGUAGAGCACUGUUUGGACGAGGGGCCCCUCUCGGGUUACCGAAUUCAGACAAACUCCGAAUGCCAAUUAAUUUAACUUGGGAGUCAGAACAUGGGUGAUAAGGUCCGUGUUCGAAAGGGAAACAGCCCAGACCACCAGCUAAGGUCCCAAAAUAUAUGUUAAGUGGAAAAGGAUGUGGCGUUGCCCAGACAACUAGGAUGUUGGCUUAGAAGCAGCCAUCAUUUAAAGAGUGCGUAAUAGCUCACUAGUCGAGUGACACUGCGCCGAAAAUGUACCGGGGCUAAACAUAUUACCGAAGCUGUGGAUUGUCCUUUGGACAAUGGUAGGAGAGCGUUCUAAGG
rnacentral:rRNA from 1 species